rnacentral:rRNA from 1 species
UACGAAGGGGGCUAGCGUUGCUCGGAAUUACUGGGCGUAAAGGGCGCGUAGGCGGCCCUGUUAGUCAGGCGUGAAAGUCCUGGGCUCAACCUGGGAACUGCGCUUGAUACGGCAGAGCUAGAGGAUGGAAGAGGCUCGCGGAAUUCCCAGUGUAGAGGUGAAAUUCGUAGAUAUUGGGAAGAACACCGGUGGCGAAGGCGGCGAGCUGGUCCAUUACUGACGCUGAGGCGCGACAGCGUGGGAAGCAAACAGG